AUCUGGAGUCUCCCAGCCUUCUUAUUGCCAUUUUAAUUGGACAGAGGUCCUCCAUCCUUCAAAAGGGCAUGGGAGGAGGGGGACCGGCUCUAUGGUUGCUGGGCAAAUAGGGGAGCACUUGAGGGAGGAAAGCAGUGAUGUCUGAGAGGCUAAUUGAGUGUACUAAGAAUUCCUUAGCAUAGAGGAAAAGGAGUCUUCCAAAGCCAUGAAUAAACUCUCAGCUUGGG